rnacentral:rRNA from 1 species
GCCAGUAGUGAUAUGCUUGUCUCAAAGAUUAAGCCAUGCAUGUCUGAGUACAGACCGAUCUAAGGUGAAACCGCGAAUGGCUCAUUAAAUCAGUCAUAAUUCCUUGGAUAGUGACAAACUUCCUCGGAUAACUGUGGAAAAUCCAGAGCUAAUACGUGCAACUGAGCUCCGACCUAGACGCGAGUCUUAUGGGAAGAGCGCAUUUAUUAGAUUCAAAACUGACCGGUGUACUCCUUCGGGAUGCGCCGUUUGUCGAAUGUUUGAUGACUCCGGAUAACUUAGCCGAGCGCUACGGUCUUAGUACCGGCGCCGUAUCUUUCAAGUGUCUGCCUUAUCAGCUUUCGAUUGUAGGUUAAACGCCUACAAUGGCUGUAACGGGUAACGGGGAAUCAGGGUUCGAUUCCGGAGAGGGAGCCUGAGAAACGGCUACCACAUCUAAGGAAGGCAGCAGGCACGCAAAUUACCCACUCCCAGCCCGGGGAGGUAGUGACGAAAAAUAACGAUGCGAGACUCUUCCGAGGCCUCGCAAUCGGAAUGAGUCCAUUUUAAAUCCUUGGACGAGGAUCCAUUGGAGGGCAAGUCUGGGUGCCAGCAGCCGCGGUAAAUUCCAGCUCCAAUAGCGUAUAUUAAAGUUGCUGCGGUUAAAAGCUCGUAGUUGGACUUCCUAGAUCCAUUUCGCGAGCGAGUCGCUCGUUGAGCUAGCGUUUCGCGUCAGUUACUCGAUGACGUCGAAGUUGUAUACGGCGUGCCUCUGCCGAUCGUUUUUACGACGAUUUCGCGCGACCGCGCGGUAUUGCGUACGAAUCGAACCCGCGAGGGUGAGAUCGCCGGCGCUUUAUCGUGUAUCGUUGCGAGUCGUUGGCGAAAGGUAGGUUCGGCUCGUCCGCGUCGCUUCGCGCGGAAUCUUGCGGACGGCGAGACGUUGUCUUCGAGUAUUGCUCGUUCGCGUUUGGUACAAUUAAAAUUUUGUCGGCUCGCUCGGAGUGCUCUUUACCGAGUGUUCCAGGGUGGCCGACACGUUCACUUUGAAAAAAUUAGAGUGCUUAAAGCGGGGCUUAUAUGUGGCCUGAAUGUCUGUGCAUGGAAUGAAGUAACAGGACCUCGAUUCUGUUUUUUUUGUCGGUUUUAUUGAACCGAGGUAAUGAUUAAAAGGGACAGACGGUGGCAUUAGUAUUGCGGCGCUAGAGGUGAAAUUCUUGGACCGCUGCAAGACUAACUACUGCGAAAGCGUUUGCCGAGAAUGUUUUCAUUAAUCAAGAACGAAAGUUAGAGGAUCGAAGGCGAUCAGAUACCGCCCUAGUUCUAACCCUAAACUAUGCUAACUAGCGAUCCGCCGGAGUCAUUCCCACGACCCGGCGGGAAGCCCCAGGGAAACCAAAGUCUUUGAGUUCCGGGGGAAGUAUGGUUGCAAAGCUGAAACUUAAAGGAAUUGACGGAAGGGCACCACCAGGAGUGGAGCCUGCGGCUUAAUUUGACUCAACACGGGAAACCUCACCAGGCCCGGACAUCAUAAGGAUUGACAGGUGAGGGCUCUUCUCGAUUUGAUGGGUGGUGGUGCAUGGCCGUCUUAGUGGUGGAGUGAUCUGUCUGGUUGAUUCCGAUAACGAACGAGACUCUACCCUACUAACUAGUCGGCGGAUCGUAACCCUGCAGAUGGUUAGUUCGUAUAGGGCGGUUGUUCGUAGACGCUCGUCGUGGCGUUGGCGUCUUGUGCUGGUCGUGGAGAGUGUCUCGAGGGGUGCUUGGGAGUAUUUCAUUUGUUUGGAACUUUCUUGUAUUUUUAGAGUAUUCUUCGCGUGUCCGCGCUUGUUGCGUUUAGCGUUCGAUUUUGCGUCGAUGUCUCCGUCUGAUUACCGCUACUGCUGGGGGCGUCCGUCGCAAUGUAUCUUCUUAGAGGGAUCAGCGGCGUAUAGCCGCACGAGAAAGAGCAAUAACAGGUCUGUGAUGCCCUUAGAUGUUCUGGGCCGCACGCGCGCUACAAUGUAGAGACCAGCGUGCUUUCCCCCUCCGAAAGGAGCGGGUAACCCGUUGAAACCCCUACCCGAUUGGGAUUGGGGAUUGCAAAUAUUUCCCAUAAACGAGGAAUUCCCAGUAAGCGCGAAUCAUUAAUUCGCGCUGAUUACGUCCCUGCCCUUUGUACACACCGCCCGUCGCUACUACCGAUUGAAUGAUUCAGUGAGGGCAUCGGACUGGCGCCUUCGGUUUAGUAAAAUAGACCUUAGGCUGACGGAAAGAUGUCCGAACUUGAUCAUUUAGAGGAAGUAAAAG